CCCGAAGUAAGUAACUGCUGAACGGACCAGCUGACAGAUGGGAAAUCCUUGCACGGAGCUAUGACAAGGGGAAGUCUGUGGGAAAAGGUUACAAUUAGCUCAGGGGAGAAAGAUAUUAUUUGCUGGACCUCAUCGAAUUCCAAAACAAGUGGUGAAUAUGUGACAAGACGAAAUUCUGGCAAGAGGAAGGGCGCUCCUGACAGAUGUGUGUUCCUGCAGCCCCCUGCAUAUGUGGAGAGCCCCAAGGGCGAGGCUUCCGCUAGAACUGUCAGGAAGAGUCAACAAGAACCCAAAGAAAUGUCCUCAUCCCAGAACCCAGAGGUGAAGCCAGGUAAGAAGCAUAUAACCUCCUGCCCCACGUCUGAGCCUCACAGAGGCAGGCUCUAAUGCAUUCACUCACUAAUGCUGGCAGCAAAUGUCCACGGAGCAAUACCGCAGGCCAGAAACCAUGCUAGGCCCCGGGGGAUUCAAAUAUUGCAGCUGUCCCCAUGCAAUCAUUUGUUCAUUCACUUGUUCAUUCAUUCAGGGGAUAGGACUGAGCACUGCUCACACACUAGGUUCUAGAGUUGCAGCAGUGAGCAAGACAGAUCUCAUCCCUGACCACAUCAACAGUGUCAUGGUUAGAAGACAUGCUGGGGGUCAGGUGACCUCUGUUUAAAGCCCAUGGACAGGCAAUUUGGGCUCUCCAAGUCUCAGUUUCUUCAACUGUAAAAUGGGUAUUAUCCUACCUCCUCUAUAAAGCUGUAAUGCCAUUGAGAAGUCAAAGAUGUGGAAGCUGCUUCCAGUUCUCAGGUUGGUGAGUAUUCUAUGGAGAGAGAAGCUCUUACAAAUUCACCCUGGGCUAUUUACCUACAGACAAAGGCACCAAAAAGCUAUAUCGAGUUACUGGCUCAUAAAUGGGGGAACAGGGAAUUUCAUAAAGAGACCACUGUGAAUGCAGUGACUUAUUGAGUGUAGAAGGCUGUUGGGGCAGGGCAGAAAUCUUUUCCACUUACAUUUGAAGAGUAUUUUGUGGUUUACAAAGGCGUUUUUGUAAUGCAUAGAGCACCUCGACUAGGUUUAGCCUCCCUCAGGUGUGACUGUCCCCUGGGGGCAGAAGCUGCUUACCUGGUUUGCCCACCCCAGAGUCAAG
rnacentral:lncRNA from 1 species